rnacentral:lncRNA from 1 species
ACAGGCCUCAGUGUGUGUUGUUCCCCACACUGUGUCCAUGCGUUCUCAUCAUUCAGCUCCUACCUAUAAGUGAAAACACGUGGUGUUUGGUUUUCUGUUCCUGCAUCAGUUUACUGAGGAUAAUGACUUCCAACUCCAUCAAUAAAAUACAUAAGAUUAAAGAAUAAAUGAGUUACCAUGAGAUAUUGGUAUUUAAUUAUCUGAAAAGUUGUGAUAUUGUUAUAUGUGUAAUUUUUAAUUAAUGUAUUAAAUGACUA